CGGCCCCGCCCCGCGGCCGGGCUGGGCGGGCGGCGACCGCGGCUGAGGUACAGGUGCCUCGCGGCGCAGCCGGGUCGCCUUCCAGCCGGUCCGCCUCGCCACCAGGGCCCGCACCCCCUCCCACCUCGCACACCGGCCUCUCUCCCGCCCAGCCAAAUGCAGGCCGCCGCUCUCCCUGAGGAGAUCCGUUGGCUCCUGGAAGAUGCUGAAGAGUUUCUGGCAGAAGGUUUGCGGAAUGAGAACCUCAGCGCUGUUGCAAGGGAUCACAGAGACCAUAUUCUACGGGGCUUUCAGCAAAUCAAAGCCAGGUACUAUUGGGAUUUUCAGCGCCAAGGAGGAGACCUUGGACAGGACAGCUCUGAUGAUAAUCACAGUGGGACUCUUGGCCUGUCCCUCACUUCCGAUGCACACUUUUUGUCAGAUUAUCAGGAUGAGGGAAUGGAAGACAUCGUAAAAGGAGCUCAAGAACUUGAUAACAUAAUCAAGCAAGGAUACUUGGAGAAGAAAAGCAAAGAUCAUAGUUUCUUUGGAUCGGAGUGGCAGAAGCGAUGGUGUGUUGUCAGCAGAGGUCUCUUCUACUACUAUGCUAAUGAGAAGAGCAAGCAGCCCAAAGGGACCUUCCUCAUUAAGGGCUACAGUGUUCGGAUGGCCCCCCACCUGCGAAGAGAUUCCAAGAAAGAAUCCUGCUUUGAACUGACCUCCCAGGAUAGGCGCAGCUAUGAGUUUACAGCUACUAGUCCAGCAGAAGCCAGAGACUGGGUGGAUCAAAUAAGUUUCUUGUUAAAGGAUCUGAGCUCCUUAACCAUUCCAUAUGAAGAGGACGAGGAGGAAGAAGAAAAAGAAGAGACAUAUGAUGAUAUUGAUGGUUUUGACUCCCCAAGUUCUGGUUCCCAGUGCAGACCCACUAUCUUGCCUGUGAGUGUGGGGAUAAAAGAGCCUACAGAGGAGAAAGAAGAAGAAGAUAUUUAUGAAGUCUUGCCAGAUGAAGAGCAUGAUCUGGAAGAGGAUGAGAGUGGCACUCGACGAAAAGGAGCAAAACCCCCAUUUCUAGAUUCAUUCUCUACAGAAAGUGAAUACUUAAAAGGUUCAGGACUCAACUUCCUAAGAGUCCAGCUUCUCCCAGGGAAGAGAAGAGACAACGAAGAUGCAGCCUCAGAAGUCAUGUGCCAAGCAGGAGAGAAAGAAAGCAGGAGAGGCGCGUAUGGAACAGACUAUGCCAGUUACUACCAGGGCCUAUGGGAUUGCCAUGGUGACCAGCCAGAUGAACUGUCCUUCCAACGGGGUGACCUCAUCUGCAUUCUGAGCAAGGAGUAUAACAUGUAUGGCUGGUGGGUGGGAGAACUGAACAGCCUCAUUGGGAUUGUUCCGAAGGAGUAUCUCACCACUGCCUUUGAAGUGGAAGAAAGAUGAAACCCAGGAAAUAUAUUCUUCCCCUCUACUGCCUUUAUGAGGAAACUGAUCAUCAAAAGUUCCCACUCCCUAUUUCUGCCACCCCACCAACGCCUUGGACUCCUCCCUUUGCUGAAGAGACCGAAGUCUCUGACACCUCAGAGUGACUGUAAGCUACCAGAAAGACAAGUGGGAAGAGCACCUGGCACCUCAGACAGGCUGCGAGGAUGGAAGCAGCAUCAGGUUUCAGUAGGAGCUCCUGCUACCCAGUGGUAGGUUAACACAGACCCACCUGGAUAGAAAGCCACACACCCAAAGAACAAGAUCUCUUGAAAGGCUACCAAGGCUAUGACAUUACUUCCCUAACAAAUGGACACCUCUCUGGUCCAGGUUAUAGCAAACCUAGCCCCUGCUAUCUCAAAGAGUACUCCAGUUACCUCUUAGGCUGGUCUCCUUUGGCCAGGUGAGAAGAGCUCUGCCUCUCUUCCUGGGCCCAGCCACAGUUUGACAUAGCAUAUCGAAGAAUGGCAUCAGACACAGUCAUGGUGCUUCGGCCUUGGACACAGGCUUCUAUCUCAGGCACUGAGAGCUGGCUUUGCAGGAAGAGGUGCAACUGACUGUCGGACAGGAGAACCACACUCUGCAGGACCCUGGGGAAAAUACAGGUAGCACAACACAGAGCGUCAACCUGAGGAACUGCUCUCCAUUCCCCAUCCUCUGAAGAACUUCUGGUUACCUGAGCAGGGAGCUCCAUCCUGCCUGGCACCUUCCUCCACCCCGCCUCCACCCUCAGUGGCCAGCACCAGCCGUUCUAUCCACUCACUUUUCAAGGAAGUGCUGCAGACCUUGUCGUCGCUUCUCAAUGAACUCAUCCGAGGUGCCAAAGAAGGUUGACUUCCCAGGAAGUUCAGGAACAGGCCUGUGGUGCCACAUGAUAUAACACCCAUGAUAACUGUAACAUCUAAGAUAGUCAUUCUAGCCUCUGAUCAAGGAAAUCCCUUGAACAGAAGCCUCAUCAAUACAAUUAGCAUUUUGUUUUCUGAGACAGAGUCUCGCUCUGUCGCCCAGGCUGUAGUGCAGUGGCGCAAUCUCAGCUCACUACAAGCUCCGCCUCCCGG